GGUAAAAUGGCUGAGGAUAUUAGGCGAUAAACUGUAAAUUUAUUUAGGAAAGUUAUUUCUUUUACCA
rnacentral:tRNA from 1 species